CGGCGAGUAUGCGAAUUGGCACAGCAUGCAGUCUAAGAUACUGCCGUUUGUGGGUUCGAAUCCCACCUCGCCGACCA
rnacentral:tRNA from 1 species